UGAUCAUGGUUACAGAAUGAGCAUAAUAACCGACUGAAAGUAAAGAACCAAAUACAGGAUCUCUAAUGUAUGAGAUGCAUCUCGUAUACAUGAUAUGUAUUGUGCUAAUAAGUAAAAUAAAUCCUAUAAAUAUGUUUUCUACCCAUUACGUAAAUUAAGCAUACAUAACCCCCACCCAGUUUCACUAUAACCCCAAUCAUUCGUUUACAAAUUAUAACAAACCAAGGAUAGCUGAAUUACAGUAAAAAAGAAUAAAAAUAAAAGUUAUUCUAUAGGGAGCUGUCAGCGAGGCCCAAUCUUCCAACCUCAAUCCUUUCGAGUUUCACAGCCUUUGCCAUGGUCUGGGUGCGGCAAAGCUCCCUAAUGCCCCCAUUGGGUUCCUGGCCAAUACCAGCACCCAAACACUUGCCAAACAUGUUGAUCAAGUGCAGUAUGGAAUUACCAGCCUUGUGCAGCAAAGUUCAGUGAGUACUCAGAGGUACCCAAAGCAAUGCUUACACGAAUGGGGUAGAACCUAAUCUCUAAGAGUAGUGAGAGUGCGUGAUAUAGUUAUAUAGAAAUUGAGUUGAGAGAAACAAUUUGAAAACGAUCCAUAUAGAAUCAGUUCUUGAAAGAAAACAGUAAAAAAGUGAACAGUUUUAUAAGAAGGUGAGUAGGACAGUCUCAGAACUAGAAUAUCACACAUAGUUCAGGAAAGCAAUCACAAACAGGGGAAAGGGAAAAUAGGAUAAGUAGUUCACAUGUAAGAGCAUAGUUGCACAUACCUAGACAUCAAAGAAGGCAUUUCGGGACUUAAACAGUCACAACACAUUUCAUCCCAAAAUGUUCAUGGAAGAGGUUCGGGAUUACUUGGUAGCCAGAAAGGGUCAUGAAUACAUGUUGAUAAUGUACUGGGUUUUGGGAGUAAGGAGGAACAAGUAAGAGAAGCAGUAGACAUGCUGAAUAUGGG
rnacentral:lncRNA from 1 species